GCCGGGAUAGCUCAGUUGGUAGAGCAGGGGACUGAAA
rnacentral:tRNA from 5 species